rfam:Nasonia vitripennis strain AsymCX Ctg127, whole genome shotgun sequence.
CAAUCGGCCCUUUACAGGGCCACCAAAAAUUUUCAAACCGUAGAAA